GAUGAACGCUGGCGGCGUGCCUAAUACAUGCAAGUAGAACGCUGAAGGAGGAGCUUGCUCUUCUGGAUGAGUUGCGAACGGGUGAGUAACGCGUAGGUAACCUGCCUGGUAGCGGGGGAUAACUAUUGGAAACGAUAGCUAAUACCGCAUGACAACAGUUAUUGCAUGAUAACUGUUUAAAAGGGGCAACUGCUCCACUACCAGAUGGACCUGCGUUGUAUUAGCUAGUUGGUGAGGUAACGGCUCACCAAGGCGACGAUACAUAGCCGACCUGAGAGGGUGAUCGGCCACACUGGGACUGAGACACGGCCCAGACUCCUACGGGAGGCAGCAGUAGGGAAUCUUCGGCAAUGGACGGAAGUCUGACCGAGCAACGCCGCGUGAGUGAAGAAGGGUGUCGGAUCGUAAAGCUCGGUUGUAAGAGAAGAACGAGUGUGAGAGUGGAAAGUUCACACUGUGACGGUAUCUUACCAGAAAGGGACGGCUAACUACGUG
rnacentral:rRNA from 1 species